rnacentral:rRNA from 1 species
GAUGAACGCUGGCGGCGUGCCUAAUACAUGCAAGUCGAGCGAACGGACGAGAAGCUUGCUUCUCUGAUGUUAGCGGCGGACGGGUGAGUAACACGUGGAUAACCUACCUAUAAGACUGGGAUAACUUCGGGAAACCGGAGCUAAUACCGGAUAAUAUUUUGAACCGCAUGGUUCAAAAGUGAAAGACGGUCUUGCUGUCACUUAUAGAUGGAUCCGCGCUGCAUUAGCUAGUUGGUAAGGUAACGGCUUACCAAGGCAACGAUGCAUAGCCGACCUGAGAGGGUGAUCGGCCACACUGGAACUGAGACACGGUCCAGACUCCUACGGGAGGCAGCAGUAGGGAAUCUUCCGCAAUGGGCGAAAGCCUGACGGAGCAACGCCGCGUGAGUGAUGAAGGUCUUCGGAUCGUAAAACUCUGUUAUUAGGGAAGAACAUAUGUGUAAGUAACUGUGCACAUCUUGACGGUACCUAAUCAGAAAGCCACGGCUAACUACGUGCCAGCAGCCGCGGUAAUACGUAGGUGGCAAGCGUUAUCCGGAAUUAUUGGGCGUAAAGCGCGCGUAGGCGGUUUUUUAAGUCUGAUGUGAAAGCCCACGGCUCAACCGUGGAGGGUCAUUGGAAACUGGAAAACUUGAGUGCAGAAGAGGAAAGUGGAAUUCCAUGUGUAGCGGUGAAAUGCGCAGAGAUAUGGAGGAACACCAGUGGCGAAGGCGACUUUCUGGUCUGUAACUGACGCUGAUGUGCGAAAGCGUGGGGAUCAAACAGGAUUAGAUACCCUGGUAGUCCACGCCGUAAACGAUGAGUGCUAAGUGUUAGGGGGUUUCCGCCCCUUAGUGCUGCAGCUAACGCAUUAAGCACUCCGCCUGGGGAGUACGACCGCAAGGUUGAAACUCAAAGGAAUUGACGGGGACCCGCACAAGCGGUGGAGCAUGUGGUUUAAUUCGAAGCAACGCGAAGAACCUUACCAAAUCUUGACAUCCUUUGACAACUCUAGAGAUAGAGCUUUCCCCUUCGGGGGACAAAGUGACAGGUGGUGCAUGGUUGUCGUCAGCUCGUGUCGUGAGAUGUUGGGUUAAGUCCCGCAACGAGCGCAACCCUUAAGCUUAGUUGCCAUCAUUAAGUUGGGCACUCUAAGUUGACUGCCGGUGACAAACCGGAGGAAGGUGGGGAUGACGUCAAAUCAUCAUGCCCCUUAUGAUUUGGGCUACACACGUGCUACAAUGGACAAUACAAAGGGCAGCGAAACCGUGAGGUCAAGCAAAUCCCAUAAAGUUGUUCUCAGUUCGGAUUGUAGUCUGCAACUCGACUACAUGAAGCUGGAAUCGCUAGUAAUCGUAGAUCAGCAUACUACGGUGAAUACGUUCCCGGGUCU